CGGAGAGUUUGAUCCUGGCUCAGAUUGAACGCUGGCGGCAGGCCUAACACAUGCAAGUCGAGCGGUAGAGAGAAGCUUGCUUCUCUUGAGAGCGGCGGACGGGUGAGUAAUGCCUAGGAAUCUGCCUGGUAGUGGGGGAUAACGUCCGGAAACGGACGCUAAUACCGCAUACGUCCUACGGGAGAAAGCAGGGGACCUUCGGGCCUUGCGCUAUCAGAUGAGCCUAGGUCGGAUUAGCUAGUUGGUGGGGUAAUGGCUCACCAAGGCGACGAUCCGUAACUGGUCUGAGAGGAUGAUCAGUCACACUGGAACUGAGACACGGUCCAGACUCCUACGGGAGGCAGCAGUGGGGAAUAUUGGACAAUGGGCGAAAGCCUGAUCCAGCCAUGCCGCGUGUGUGAAGAAGGUCUUCGGAUUGUAAAGCACUUUAAGUUGGGAGGAAGGGCAGUAAAUUAAUACUUUGCUGUUUUGACGUUACCGACAGAAUAAGCACCGGCUAACUCUGUGCCAGCAGCCGCGGUAAUACAGAGGGUGCAAGCGUUAAUCGGAAUUACUGGGCGUAAAGCGCGCGUAGGUGGUUCGUUAAGUUGGAUGUGAAAUCCCCGGGCUCAACCUGGGAACUGCAUUCAAAACUGACGAGCU
rnacentral:rRNA from 1 species